UAACUUCACUAAACAACUUUAAGCCUCAACAAACAACAAAUUACAAGACUAUGUAAUCUAGGAAUUAUAAACUCUAACCCCUACUUCACAAAACACACAAACCUCUCAAAGUAAGUGUUCCCAAGUAUUCGAGUUCCCAAACUUGAAGACAAAAAUCCUACUUCAGUUUAUACUUCACUGAAACUAGAAUUAUAUCAGUGUUACAACUCAAUAACAAAUCUAAUACAUAGAAACUACGACACCUUAUUUUCUAAGUAGAAGAACUAGGUUCAACUACGUGUUUCUUCAAGCCAUGAACUACUCAAUCAAUUUUUCAAUUGCCUUUUUCUUUGUAAGUGUGUGAGUGACUGUGCAAGUCACUCCCUCUAUUUAUACACGACUCUCCAAAGAGUCCUUCAUUAGAUGUGUCUUCUAUAUCCUGUGAAACUCCCUACUCUUUAGUGUUUAUUGUGAAGUAGAAGUCCUACUUGAAGUUGAUCUCCUUGUUGAAGUAGAACUCCUUCUUCAAAUCAAUAUAUCUCUCUCUUAUCUUCAAGUACUGUAAUCAAACUCAAUAUCUUCAUCUACACACGUGAUAGUUAAUUUGAAGUUAUCUAUCUACUUCUUUAAUUCAGUCUUCUUGUCUUCAUAUACCGUGGACUUUCACUCUCGAAAGUGGAACAGAUUUAACAACAUGUUUUACUCUUUUUUUUUCAUUCAUCAAAACUUCAAGACACCAAUAAAUUCCCCCUUUUUGAUAAUGAUAAACCAUGCCUCUAGGCAUACACCAUAUUUCCUAAAAGACUUAAGCAAGAGACACAAGAAUGAAAUUGGUUAGACGUUGGGUUAUAAGCAUUGUACAAUCUAGGUGAAUUUUACCUCUUUUGGCAUCAUUGAAAAACAAAACAUUGAAAGAAGAAAAAACGGGAGUUAAGCUACUCAUGGACACUGGGGCUAUCACCAAGACAAUCAGAACUUAUCAAUCAAAAUUAAAGUGCAAUAAACAAAGAUGUAAUAGAAAACAUUCAAACAAACUAAGAUUUCAUUACAUUCAUUUCCAAAGUAUGAUCAUCACAUUUCUAAGACACAAACCAAAAGAAAAGAAACACAAUUGAGCAUAGGAGGGAAGGAGACAAAAACAAGGGAUCCUAGGGAGCUAAGAGAGGACACUAAUUAUGCAGAAGGAGAAGGUGAUAUCAGUUGUGUCAAACGAUGAAUAGUAGCAGCAUUAGUAACCCUCUCCUGAGCGGUUAAUUCUUAAGUUCAGCAAUUCUAGCUCUAAGUAUAGCAGUGUCCUAAGUAUGAUAAACCCUAGCUUCGUCCAGUUCUUUAAUUUUCUCUUCCAAUGCAUUUUGAGCCUAUUGAAGUGGAGUGUUUGCGCGUCUCAUUGAAUCAGGAAGAGAGGAGUAACGAACCCUGCCAAUAACAUCUUUGGUGGUAUGAUAUUCCCAAACUAGAAUUGGAAUAUCAAGCUCCUCAAAUAUUUCCCCAAGCUAGAACCUAUAAUCCAAGUAAUGACCAUUUUAUCCUAAUGAAGCACUCAAUUCAUGUGUUUCUAUCACGACCCGAGCCGGGGCCCUGGCCGUGACAAGCACCUCGAACCAUGGAGGCUCAAUCACUCUUCUACAUCUAGUAAUCAUGCACAAUACUCGAAUAAUAAAUAAAAGAUGUGGAAUUAUAAUAAACGGAAUCAUGGUCAUAAAUCUAAAAUCUGCUCGACAAUAUGUACAAUAAGUUUUCAACAUCUUUCUCAUCUGCGAAAUCCUUACUACAUAAGAUGUCAAUAACUUGUCUAAAUCUAGGACAAGGUCCCCAGUGGACCAAAACUAAGUAAAAUAACAACUAACUGAAAAGAAAUAGGCCUUCCGGAAUAAAGAAGACUUACAAACUACACACACUUCUCUUCUGUUGGAACAAGUCUACGACUUAGCAGAACCUCUAGACUGAGCCUCAAAUCCUGAAAGAUAGGGGGUCAAUACAAUUGUACUGGUACACAAAGAAAUUCAAAAUAAUACAUUUAUAUAUAUAAAAUAGAUGAGAGCAGGUCAUGAAACAUCAUGCAUGAUAUACGUCAAAAACACAUAGGCAAUUCUUUGAAAAUCAUAAAACAUUUUGAUCAAUGCAAUUCUGAUAUUUGUAUUACUUUUGAGUUAGGUGGCACGCCCCUACAAGUCUGAUAUUCCACGGGCUAUAUGGAAUCCGCUAUUGAAUCGACGGGGAAGCCCCCACGGGCUAUAUGAAAUCCGUCAUUGAAUCAGCGGGGAAGCCCCCAACCUGAGUUUUCCACAAGGGUUGGAGUGUCUGAGUCUGAUACACCAUAGGGUACUAGGCCAAUACAAAAUCCCUCUAGGGGAUGUAAUAACCCGUAUCGACAAAACACGAUUUUGGGUAAUGAGUUAUCUGAACUCGUGCCUUCUUCGGAGAACCACCUAACGUCUUUUUAUGCCUAAUUUUAGCCUUUUUUAAACAUACAUCUUUCUAAAUCCAAGAUCUAUAAGUCUGAGUAAAAUCUAAUUCUAUUUUAUUCUGUGUCUGAUAUGGCAUUGUCUAUAUUGGUAUCGUCAUACCAAGACUUGUAAGUCAUAUCUAAGUUAUUCAAUAUCAUUUACAGUUUUUCUCUUUCAAAACAUAGAGUUUUGACCACUAUACGUCAAACAAUUCAAGAAGAUUCGUACUUCAAAGCGUUUGUCAAAUUAUGUAAAAAUUAUUCUUUUUAGCAUUUCAACAAAUAUGUAGUGGUCAUUAAACUUGUGACAAAAACAUGCAAUCUUCUUAAUAAACAUCUUUAACCUUUAACACCAAGUAAAACACCCCCUCUUCAAUUCAAAACCAUAAUCAAAUCAUAAAUAAAAUCAAGACAUUUAUAUCAUAGUUCCAACAAUGCAUUUCGAAUAAAUCAUAACUUACGAAAACAAGAAACUUGCAAACAAGAGAGGGAUUUAUAAUAGAUCAUGCUCUCAAUUCAUUAUUUAAACUCAUCAAACACAUACACACACAUAUAUAUAUACUUAUACAUGGUUAUAAAUCAAAUUUGGGGGAAAGGCCUCAAGACCAAAUCAAUUUUACCAUUAAAGAAUUCAUAAAGCAAAAUUGUAAUGUAAGUUCCAAAACCCCUUCAAAAAUUCAUGAUUUCACAAUGUUUAAAUAUUGUUGAAACAAUUUCUUUAUGCACAUGUAGUUUUAGUAAAACCUCACGUACCUUAGAUUGCUUAGAAGGAAGAGUGGAAUCCGAAUCACACUUAAGUUCUUGAAAUCCUUGACUUCAAUGAUGAACUCUUGAUCUAUGGGGGAGGGACUAGGGUUUUGAUUAGAGAGAGGGAAGUAGGGACUUGAAGCAACACUACUUCAUUGACGUAGGUUUUGAUUAGGGACUAGGGUUUUGAUUAGGGACUUGAGAAUGAGAGAGGGAAGUAGGGACUAGGGUUUUGAUUAGGGACUUGAAGCAACACUACUUCAUCGACACGGCGUGCUGACUUUGCAUCAGGCCACUUCUUCCAACACCCAAAUACACCUCUAACGUUGUUCAAAAAUUUUGAGACUUACCCGAGAUAUACUAUUAACUUCCUCAAUCAUGAAUCAACUUAAAAAUUAACUUUCUGAGGUCGAAAAGGUCAAAAGGAAAAUUAUCAAAGGUUAGGGGUUCAAAAUGUAAAUAAGUCCUUUUGACACUAAGAAAAAUUUUCAGAAGAUUGACCCUCCAAGCAUACUACGAAGUGAUAUCAAGUCGAGAAAACUAUGAGGCGUCAUAGUUUCAAAACAAGCCUAGAGAGAUCAAUUUUGAUCUCAGAAUCCAGCAGCUCCAUUAAGUUCAUAUCCAAAUAAUAUGCCUCAGUCUUUCUCUAUUUUAUUUGGAGAAUCAUCUUAUGGACUACAUCAAAAUAAAGUUGAUGUAGUUGAGAUAUUUUAUAUUUUUCAACUGUAGGAUGGUGAGUGAGAGUAGGCUGCAUGAGAACUUUCUAGUGAUUUUCAAGGUUGCGUAAAAGGUAUGGAGAGGGGGCCACCCAUACGUCACAUAAUGACUCUAACCUCCAGAAGGAAUAUCCAAAAUACGAGCCACAACAUCACAAGUAAGCUUAAUUUGAAAUCCAAGCACAUUAGAGAUAAAUACAGAGCAAUCAAACUUUCCAUUGAUAUAGAACUUAGUCAUCUCUUUCUUAGCCUUCGUUGAGUGGUUCCUUGAAGGAAAAGUGUUGAAUACCCUUGUGCAAUAAUUUUGGUAAGAAGAACAACUAUUUCAGGUCCCCAUACCUAGUAAUAACUCUACCUCGCACCACUUUUUGCUUUUGAAAUUUGAUUAUGUCAUUAAGAGAUGGAAGAUAGGCUUAAAUGUAGCAAUGGAUUGAGAGGAAAAUUGAGGAAUUGAUGGAGCAGGUGGAGUGACCUAUUUCUUUGGAGUGUGAGAGGAGGGUGUGGAUUUGGUUAAUUCUUUUGGUGCAUAUUUAGAAGUUUUUUUUGGAGGAGGUUUUGAUAAAGAUGAAAAAUGGGUGGAGCAAAAAGAAUUGAAUUUUAGGAUAAUAUUUUUGACCUUUUUAUCACAGCAAAACCAACUUAGAAGAUAGUCAUCAUCAGGGUCAGACAAGGUAGCCUCUGAAGAUGGAGAACCAGCAUGAAUGAGACCGAUUAAGAGUGUGGGGGGUUAAUUUUGGAAUAGAAAAAGUAAUAAGUUCUUCAAGAAAUUCACUUUCAGGAACAAAAAUAGGUGCUUCAAAUAAUUUCUUGAGUCUAGAUCUGGCCCUUACUGGAAUGGUGUCAGAGGCAAGGGGUUCAUAAGUAGAAAUAGUUUGGAUAGGAACAAUUUCUUGAAACUGUUCGAAUGAGGGUUGAUUUAAUGAGUAGAUCAUAGCUCAAAACUUAUUCCAAGCAUUGAAAUCAGAUAUUUUGAAGGUAGGAACAAGAGGAAUUGUGGGUAUGAAAGGCUCGACUGGAAUAAGUUCCAUUGAAGAGGAUAAGCGUGGGUCAAUUUUUUCUUGAGAAGACAAAGUGGAGAGGGAGGAAGAUGAAGCCAUUUGGUGAGGAGGAAUAAGAGAUAUGAAGAAUGUAAGAACAAAAAUCUUAUUAGUUUAUAAGGUUCAAUAGGAGAAAUGGGGUUUAAAUAGGAGCAAAAUUAGAAUUGAUUUGUGAGAAGAGGAAAAGUUUUUGUCAGUGUAGACCUAAUAGGAUUAGAUUAUUUGAAUGUGACAUGACCAAUCGUGGUAACUUUUGUAGUGGGAAUGACUCUUCAAAAAUUUUCUAUUAAAGAAGAAAGAGAGAUGCAUUCAACAUAGG
rnacentral:lncRNA from 1 species